rnacentral:SRP_RNA from 1 species
GCUGGGUGUGGUGUUACGCACCUGUAGUCCCAGCUACUUGGGAGGCUGAGGUGGAAGGAUCUCUUAAGCCCAGGAGUUCAAGGCUGCAGUGUGCUAUGAACAGCCCUUGGUGAAUAUCCACUGCACUUCUGUGAAUAGCCACUCCAUUCCAGCCUGGGCAACAUAGGGAGACUUUGUAUCUU